AAAGAUGAUGAAUGGUGGCUUAGAAAGAAAAAAUGGCCAGCGGUAAUACCUUUGGCUUAGUAGAAGGAUUAGAUCUACGUACCAUUAAAGGAGUACUCUAAAAUCUGCCAUUAACAUUUUCAAGACGAAGUAUCAUGGACAGUAUUGAAGGAUUACGUACUAUAAAGGAAUACUCUAAAAUCUGCCGUUAACAUUUUGAAGACGAUGAAGUAUUGUGGACUAGCUACUACACAUGAAAGAGUAGAGAGUGCAUUAAGGA